rnacentral:rRNA from 1 species
UACGUAGGGGGCAAGCGUUGUCCGGAUUUAUUGGGCGUAAAGAGCGUGUAGGCGGUUUGGUAGGUCCGCUGUGAAAACUCGAGGCUCAACCUCGAGACGCCGGUGGAAACCAUCAGGCUAGAGUCCGGAAGAGGAGAGUGGAAUUCCUGGUGUAGCGGUGAAAUGCGCAGAUAUCAGGAAGAACACCCGUGGCUAAGGCGGCUCUCUAGUACGGUACUGACGCUGAGACGCGAAAAGCGUGGGGAGCGAACAGG